rnacentral:rRNA from 1 species
GAUGAGCGCUGGCGGCGUGCCUAAUACAUGCAAGUCGAGCGAACAGAUGAGGAGCUUGCUCCUCUGACGUUAGCGGCGGACGGGUGAGUAACACGUGGAUAACCUACCUAUAAGACUGGGAUAACUUCGGGAAACCGGAGCUAAUACCGGAUAAUAUAUUGAACCGCAUGGUUCAAUAGUGAAAGACGGUUUUGCUGUCACUUAUAGAUGGAUCCGCGCCGCAUUAGCUAGUUGGUAAGGUAACGGCUUACCAAGGCAACGAUGCGUAGCCGACCUGAGAGGGUGAGAGGCCACACUGGAACUGAGACACGGUCCAGACUCCUACGGGAGGCAGCAGUAGGGAAUCUUCCGCAAUGGGCGAAAGCCUGACGGAGCAACGCCGCGUGAGUGAUGAAGGUCUUCGGAUCGUAAAACUCUGUUAUUAGGGAAGAACAAAUGUGUAAGUAACUAUGCACGUCUUGACGGUACCUAAUCAGAAAGCCACGGCUAACUACGUG